rnacentral:rRNA from 1 species
UACGUAGGGGGCUAGCGUUGUCCGGAAUCAUUGGGCGUAAAGAGCGUGUAGGCGGUCCGGUAAGUCCGAUGUGAAAGCCCUGGGCUCAACCUGGGAAUUGCAUUGGAUACUGGCAGGCUAGAGUGCGGUAGAGGAUGGCGGAAUUCCCGGUGUAGCAGUGAAAUGCGUAGAGAUCCGGAAGAACACCGGUGGCGAAGGCGGCCUGCUGGGUUCUGGCUGACACUGAGGCGCGACAGCGUGGGGAGCAAACAGG